GAAGUGCCGGUCGAAGUCGCCCUGCAAGGCGUGUGUGUGAUCGCGCACCUGCCGGGGUCCUGCAUGGCAUCACCAGUAUCCCUAUAAGAGAGAGGCAGAGGAAGGACAAGCGCAGUGACUCACACCUGUAAUCCCAGCACUUUGGGAGGCCGAGGCUGGCAGAUCCCUUGAGCCCAGGAGUUCGCAACCAGCCUGGCCAACAUGGUGAAACCCCAUCUCUACUAAAAAUACAAAAAUUUGCCAGGUGUGGUGGUGCAUGCCUGUAAUCCCUGCUACUCAGGAGGCUGAGGCAAAAGAAUUGCUUGAACCUGGGAGGCGGAGGUUGCAGUGAGCUGGGAUCAUACCACUGCACUCCAGCCUGGGCAACAGAGCAAGACUCUGUCUCAAAAAAAAAAAAAAAAAAAAAAAAAAAAAAAAA
rnacentral:lncRNA from 10 species